AUACAUUUUUUAUUUGGCCUUUAGGAAGACUUAAAAGACAGCGACAUAAACUAGAGAUUCUCAGACAUUAAAAUGCGUCAAAAUCACCUGGAGGGCUUAUAAAAGCUCAGAUUUCUAAACCCACACUGUUUCUUACCCAGUAUGGGGCCCAAGAAUAUGGAUUUCUAACAAGUUCCCAGGUGAUACUAAUGCUACUAGUUUGAGAAUUAUUGGUUUAAACAAGUAAGGGAUUGAUGAAUAUCAAAGGGUAAAGGAUUGAUGGCAUAGAGCUAGGCCACCCAGGCCAGGUACUGUGGUUGCAUGAUACCUUGGGAACCUCAGCUCCUUGAAUUCUUCUGUUCUACUACCCUUAGAGAGUGUGGCUUUAGGCCUCAUAGUCCCAUCAUGACCUCUGCAGUUCCUUGUUUCAAUCAGGAAGAAAGAUUUUUUCCAGAAGCUCCACCUCGGGACUUCUGCUUAUGGGUUUUAGCUUAAAACUUUGUAAAGUGGACCCCUUUACCUGUAAGAAAGGCUUACAACUAUAGUUGAUUCAUGGUCAGUUGGCUGGUUUUAAAGCUAGCUAUAUUCCACCCUGAGCAAAAUUAGAUAUGACAGACAUCCUUAUCUGCUUCAUAAUUUUAAUGAGGGAUUUUAUAUUUCAUAGGUCAAUUUUUUUUCUAGGAAGUAGGAUACAAAUAACUUUUAAAAAAGGAACAAUCUGAGCUGGAAGGGGAUUUAUAGAAAGUGUUAGAAAUUUGGAAUCUCUAUUUUGGAGAAGAGAAGCAUGAGCUGCUCAGUGACAUUGUCAUGUGCCAUUGAAAGCUCAGCUGAUGACUAUAGGUUCAUGCUAGUGCAGUAAAGAAUCUUUACAAUAUAACAGCCCAGGAGCUGAGAAAACAAAUAGCAUGAUUGAUUCAAAGCUGGAGCCUAGUAAGAAAAGUAUAUUGGUAGGUUCAGAGGGUAAGAAAAUCGUAGAAACUGAUAGAGCAAAGGUUGAAAUGUCAUCCCCAGGAGUAUGGGGCUACAGAGAAAUAAAAAUACAUUCCUUAUUUCUCUAACUGUUAGGUCUUUAUGCAAUAAUUGAACCAAAAAAACUUAAGAAAAAGUGAUU
rnacentral:lncRNA from 10 species